ACGUCUCCUACCUCGCUCGAUCGAACGCAUUCAAUCGAUUGAUCUUGAGCUGGAUGCUAUCCCCACUCUCUGCACGCAGAGAGAUGGUCUGGCACGAGACGAGAGCAACCCCAUCACUCUUGCUGAUCUUUGAGUACGAUUCCAUCUCGCUCCAUACGGUGAUGUGUGUUGUAAUUUAUGCGGCAAGACAU
rnacentral:snoRNA from 1 species